rnacentral:rRNA from 1 species
AAUAUUGGACAAUGGGCGCAAGCCUGAUCCAGCAAUGCCGCGUGUGUGAAGAAGGCCUUCGGGUUGUAAAGCACUUUUAUCAGGAGCGAAAUACUAUCGGUUAAUAACCGGUGGGGCUGACGGUACCUGAGGAAUAAGCAUCGGCUAACUCCGUGCCAGCAGCCGCGGUCAUACGGAGGAUCCAAGCGUUAUCCGGAAUUACUGGGCGUAAAGAGUUGCGUAGGUGGCAUUGUAAGUCGGUAGUGAAAGCGUGUGGCUCAACCAUAUACACAUUAUCGAAACUGCAAAGCUAGAGGACGAGAGAGGUUAUUGGAAUUCCCAGUGUAGGAGUGAAAUCCGUAGAUAUUGGGAGGAACACCGAUGGCGUAGGCAGAUAACUGGCUCGUUCCUGACACUAAGGCACGAAAGCGUGGGGAGCAAAC